rnacentral:tRNA from 1 species
GCAGUCCAAGCUAACCCGGUGGAAGCGCCUGUUUGAAAAGCAGGAGGGCGAGGCUCGACACCUCGGGGCUGCA